UUAUAUACUAAUGUGUAGGGGCUUACAACAAUCUACAAACACAGAAACUACAUAAAUAUUACCUGACAAUGUAAAAAACAACAACAACAACGUUGCAGGACUAUGAUUAAAUAUCGUGAUUACAUUGUCUUCAUCUACCAAUUACUUGUACAAUGUAGCAUAUACAUCUAGUCACCUAGUGCGAUUUUAAUGGGUAGGUGCUGCCUAAAUCGGUACUCGUGUAAAUGUAUAACUUUGUAACAACACUGUUGCAAAGUGAUCUUCUAAUUGAUGCUAUUGAUACCCCGAUCUGCACUCUCUUCCUCAAAGUAAUAUUUAUGCUGACAACCUAUGCUAUUAUGUGUACAUUAUGUUAUAUGAAAAUAAGUUAUAAGACUGCACUUGAUCUUACAUAGGCUCAAUUUUGUGACCCUAGAGAUGAUAUCAUUGGUAAAAGAAAAAGGCUAAAACCAUUUCAAACCCAAACAUUACAUGCUUUAUAAGAGAACUUUUCAACCAUUUUACUAGAAAUAGUUUCACCUUUGAGUUAAGGAAAAUGAUAAAGCAUAAUUUCACUUGCUGGCCUCAAGAAAUGCACAUUCAUUUCAUGUGCAAACAACAAAUGGCAAUGCUUUAAGAUGCUUUAAUGAUUUAAGAUUACGCGCUCUUGACAAGAUGGCUGCUCCCUGUUUACAGUUAUCAUAGAUGAGUUAAAUUUUCGUUUUGUCGUAUUAAAACCAAAUAAAAUUCCUUUAAAAAGCUAUUCAACUAAUAAACUAAUAUCUUUAAAUUAUAGAUUUAACUUAAUUCAGCAUUAUUUCCACUAAUUAAUUCAAAUUAACAACUCUUAGUUUAGGACUAUUUUGUCUCACUAAUCAACUAAUCAUUAUAAUUAUAUUUAAUAUUAUUUAGUCUAUAAUUAUUUUUAUAUCCUUAGAUUUUAGAUCUAGUCAGUCUUAGACUUUAAUUAAGGCCUUAGAUCUACUAAUCAUCACUAAUACUUCUAAUUAUAAACUAAUAGUAAUACUCUAUAUAGUUAGUUAAACACAUAAAUAUAUUGAUCUACAAUUAGAUCUAGAUCUAGAAUUAGAUCUAGAAUUAGAUCUAGAUCUAGAAUUAGAUCUGGAUCUAGUCUAGGUCUA